CCUAUUGUAUUACCAAUAGUUUCUUAACUCGGCAUGCAUAUCUGGUAACGGACUUGUGUGAAGCCCAGUGGACAAUGGAAUCCUCGACCGAAACAUCUGGAAAAAACACCCCAAUCUUUCAUCUGGAAACAAUUUGACCAGGAUAGACU
rfam:Desulfamplus magnetovallimortis isolate PRJEB14757 genome assembly, scaffold: MTBBW1_scaffold30